UGAAAGUGGCGGUCGUUUACUGGAUUAAUUGGAAAGCGCAUAAUGAGCUCACCUUUAGGCCGACCCAACUUGCGAUCUUCAUUAAGGAUUUGGGUAUAUGCAGUGACGUGGUUGCAUGGAGCAAGGCGAACACUCCCGACCUGACUUCACCCCACCCCAACCAUUCUACUAAAAGCCAGGAAAUUAGAUGUCACAUGCCAUCUACUCCAAUAUGGAGUAUCUACUACGAUGGAUCGUUCAUCAGCGAUUCUGAGGAGGCG
rnacentral:lncRNA from 1 species